rnacentral:rRNA from 1 species
CCCUUAGAUGUUCUGGGCCGCACGCGCGCUACACUGAUGCAUUCAACGAGCCUAUCCUUGACCGACAGGUCCGGGUAAUCUUUGAAUCUGCAUCGUGACGGGGAUAGAUUAUUGCAAUUAUUAAUCUUCAACGAGGAAUGCCUAGUAGGCGCAAGUCAUCAGCUUGCGUCGAUUACGUCCCUGCCCUUUGUACACACCGCCCGUCGCUCCUACCGAUUGGGUGUGCUGGUGAAAUGUUCGGAUUGGCCGUUUGUCGCGGUUUCCGCGUCAUGUGGCUGAGAAGUUCAUUAAACCCUCCCACCGAGAGGAAGGAGAAGUCGUAACA